rnacentral:rRNA from 1 species
UGCUCCUUUGACGUUAGCGGCGGACGGGUGAGUAACACGUGGAUAACCUACCUAUAAGACUGGGAUAACUUCGGGAAACCGGAGCUAAUACCGGAUAACAUAUUGAACCGCAUGGUUCAAUAGUGAAAGGCGGCUUUGCUGUCACUUAUAGAUGGAUCCGCGCCGUAUUAGCUAGUUGGUAAGGUAACGGCUUACCAAGGCAACGAUACGUAGCCGACCUGAGAGGGUGAUCGGCCACACUGGAACUGAGACACGGUCCAGACUCCUACGGGAGGCAGCAGUAGGGAAUCUUCCGCAAUGGGCGAAAGCCUGACGGAGCAACGCCGCGUGAGUGAUGAAGGUCUUCGGAUCGUAAAACUCUGUUAUCAGGGAAGAACAAAUGUGUAAGUAACUGUGCACAUCUUGACGGUACCUGAUCAGAAAGCCACGGCUAACUACGUGCCAGCAGCCGCGGUAAUACGUAGGUGGCAAGCGUUAUCCGGAAUUAUUGGGCGUAAAGCGCGCGUAGGCGGUUUUUUAAGUCUGAUGUGAAAGCCCACGGCUCAACCGUGGAGGGUCAUUG